AUGAACACGUCUUGUGGAGCGAAUUUGGAACUUUCGAGGUGCAUUGCUGCAUCCCCUGUUUGUCGUUUAAAAUCCUCUUUCUUUGAGUCAAGAUCAGGUGUACCCAAGCUCUAGGGCUUCUCAAAGAAGCUAUUGCCUUUAUGCAAAGAUAUAAAUGCUAAAAGUAACAGGGAGGGAAGCAUUACAUUCUCGGUUACUUGUAGUGCCAGUCAGGUUGACACUGCUGCAGAUGAGCCCAGCAGUCUUUACAUAUAAGGAUGCUGGCGUGGACAUUGAUGCAGGAUCAGAGCUUGUGAGGAGAAUAGCCAAAAUGGCACCUGGAAUUGGGGGAUUUGGAGGGCUCUUUCCAUUAGGGGAUUCAUAUCUUGUGGCUGGUACUGAUGGUGUGGGGACAGAACUUAAGUUGGCAUUUGAAACAGGAAUUCAUGAUACCAUUGGGAUUGAUCUGGUUGCGAUGAGUGUUAAUGACAUUGUCACUUCUGGAGCAAAACCUUUAUUUUUCCUUGAUUAUUUUGCAACCAGCCGCCUUGAUGUUGACCUUGCAGAGAAGGUCAUAAAAGGUAUUGUGGAUGGUUGCCAGCAAUCUGACUGUGCUCUUCUAGGGGGAGGAGAGACUGCUGAGAUGCCAGAUUUCUAUGCUGACGGCGAGUAUGACAGUGGGUUUGCUGUGGGCAUUGUUAAAAAGGAUUCAGUUAUUGACGGGAAAAGUAUCAAGGUUGGAGACGUUCUUAUUGGUUUACCAUCUAGUGGAGUUCAUUCAAAUGAGUUUUCUCUUGUUAGAAGGGUUCUGAAGCAAAGUGGCUUUUCUUUGAAAGACCAGCUUCCUGGUGAAACUAUUACACUUGGUGAAGCUUUGAUUUGCCCAACUGUUAUAUAUGUUAAACAGGUUCUUGAUAUUAUUAACAAAGGAGGGGUUAAAGAAAUAGCCCACAUUACAGGAGCCAUUAUUUACGAGGGCUCUUGGACAAUUCCUCCUGUUUUUAAAUGGAUUCAAGAGGCUGGAAGAAUAGAAGAUGCUGAGAUGAUGCGGACUUUCAAUAUGGGAAUCGGCAUGCUCCUUGUAGUAAGUCCAGAAGCAGCUCAUAGGAUUCUUGGGGAAGUACAGAAGACGAGCAUUGCAGACCGGAUUGGUGAGGUUGUAAAGGGUGAUGGAGUAAGCUAUAGCUGAAAGCUAUGCAGGUGAUCAUCGGAGGAUGUCAAUAUCAGCAUGUCUCC